GUGGCAAGACCUAUUGUGCUUCAGAAAUCGGAUAAAUUCGAAACCACUUAUAAUAAAAAUUUGCAAAACGUAUCCCAUAAACAUAAUUUAUUCUAUUACAUGUAUAUUACACUUUCAAGGAAUUCACAAUUCUGAAAAAAUUGUUUUUAGU
ensembl:lincRNA linc-27 ncRNA